UACGUAGGUGGCAAGCGUUGUCCGGAUUUACUGGGCGUAAAGAGCGCGCAGGCGGUCGUUCAAGUCGCGUGUGAAAGCCCCCGGCUCAACUGGGGAGGGUCAUUCGAUACUGGCGGGCUCGAGGCCGGUAGGGGGAAGUGGAAUUCCCGGUGUAGUGGUGGAAUGCGUAGAUAUCGGGAGGAACACCAGUGGCGAAGGCGGCUUCCUGGACCGGUUCUGACACUGAGGAGCGAAAGCGUGGGGAGCGAUCCGG
rnacentral:rRNA from 1 species